rnacentral:lncRNA from 1 species
AUGGGGGGCCGCACCGGUCAGGUCCAGCGAGGAGCCGGGGCGCGAGUUUGGGGGCGCAGCCCGGCCCGGCGGGGGCGGCGAGCGCGCGUCCCCCCGCCCGCUCAGGCAGCGUCGAGGCGCGAGCAGCUCAGCCAGCCUUGCAGAGGGAGCUCUCGGCAGCUCUGGGGUCCCUCUGCUCGCAGCCGCAGCAGCGCCGCCUGCGCCACUCGGCGGAGACGGAGACCAGCGGCGGCGGCGCGCGGACCGGGAGCGACCGCCGAGCAGCCGGGCGGCAGCGGUACGCUCGCAGAGCGGCCGGGAUGCACCUGCGGAUUCCACCCAACCUGCGAUGAAGCUCACCGACCGCAGACUGGAAGAUGUUCUGACGACCCAGGGAGGAGAGCCUUUGGUACCUUGGCAAUCUGACUCAGGACUGUGUUCUGAACUGUACCUUAGAUGUCACGAAUAACAAACAGACCUAGCAUCAAGGAGACCCCUUCUCCAUUCAGCUCCUUGUUCCAUUAUGAGAAUGCCAGCCCAAUAUUGACAGAUUUUCUGGGGGUUUUGUUGAAAAGGGGAAUCCGAAAUCUAGAUUUUUGUAAUUAAAAUUUUUGGGUGUUCAGGUGUUAGCAACUAAGUCAUGUUUUUAAACUGCAUGAGCUGAUUAGACCAGAUGUGUGGGCUGUCAUUUGGAGGAAAGAGUAAAGAGAAGUUCAAGGCCAGACUCUAGACACUCCAGCAUUUAGAAAUAGGAUAAUGGAGAAGGAAUCUGAAAGGAGGCAGUCAGGAAGGCAGAAAGAAAUCCACAAGAAUGGGCUCCUGGGUGGCUCAGUGGUUGAGCAUCUGCCUUUGGCUCAGGUCGUGAUCCCAGGGUCCUGGGAUCAAGUCCCAAAUUGGGCUUCCCGUAGGGAGCUUGCUUCUCCCUCUGCCUAUGUCUGUGCCUCUCUUUGUGUGUCUUUCAUGAAUAGAUAAAAGAUUUUUAAGAUCCACAAGAAUGUUAAAUUUGGAAUCCCAGGGCAGAGAAGGUUUCCAGGAGGGGGGAGGGGUCAGUUGUGUCUAGGCUGCUGAGAGGUCAACUCGGGUCAGAGAUACGCUGUUGGAUUGGUCACCUUGGUAUUCAAUGGAGAAUAUCAUUGGUGAAUUUGGCUUGAUUCAUGUUGGUAGAUCAAGAGAUGUGGACCUCACUAGAAUGGGUUGAGAAUGAUUGGAAAAGUAAGGAAAUAGAGACAGCACACAUAGGCAACAUGAGAAGUUUUGCCGUGAGGAGAGCAAAGAAAUUUAGGGAGAACUGUGGAACGAUAUUGGAUCAGUGAGGAGAUGCUUUAAAACAUAGGGUUCCAAAUAUAAUAAUAAUACAUAAAUAAAUAAAUAAAUAAAUAAAUAAAUAAAUAAAUA